GUGUGUGUGUGUGUGUGUGUGUGUGUGUGUGUGUGUGUAUGUGUGUGAAACAAAAUCCCGCCCCCUUUUGCAUUUUCCAAUGAAGUGUUAUUUUCUACUGAAUCUGAAGAAUCUUUUAUUUAUUUUAAUAUUUGCAAGUUUCUACAAGAAAAUAUUUCUAAUCACGACAACAAGGAAUUCAAAAGGAGAAAAUUGGGAGAGAGAGGAGCUGUAUGAGCUCUCAUAUGUUCUAACUCACUGCUGUGUGAGUGUGCUAUUUUUUUUUAUUUUUUUUUGUAGCUUCCUGGACCCAAUGCUGUUAGUUCACUUUUUGUUAACUAAAAUGGUCGCAAAAGAGAAAUGCAUCUUGUAGCUAAAUUGAAAAAGGGCUUUACUGGAACCAAGACAGCAGGUCAAGAACAAGGGCAAAAUGGAGACGGGAGUGUUCCAGAACCCGAAUGAGAAAAAUCCUUCAGAAUUGUUUACAAUGGUGUGCUGAGGUUGGUUGCCAUGGUCGUGGUGGUAUGAGACGAGCUGAAGCACAUCGCAGAGACCCUCAGACAACUGUGAUAGAUCUCAAGACGUCACCUCUAUGCUUUUACCAGUUCUCACUUUCAGAAGUCUGAUAUCCCCUGUGCAUGUCUGUGUGUCAUAAUGACAGCUGUGUUUUGUAGCUUUUGUCUCAUUUCUUGUAAUGUUUUUAUUAUGUGUUAAAAAAAACACUAUUUGUCACACAAAGAUCACUUUAGCUUGGAGAUCUAGUCAUCAGAUUCCCCAUUAUGCUUUUUGUAGUUUUUUUUAAAUGGAACCAAAGUCACCCUUUUAGGAACCACUCAUGUUGUUCCUCUGUUUAGCAUACAUGAUGUUCUUUAGAUUUUCUAUCUGUGUCGUUGGUGAAAACUUGUCUCCCACAAUCCUUUUGCUGUGUCACCUGUUUGCCAAAGCCAACUUGUCCAUCAAUGUGUUUGUGAAGUAACUGGUUCAAAUUUUGUUUUCAUUUGUCUUUAUUACCCUCACUGGUACUGUAAUGAUAUUAUGUAUACCUCUGUAUACAACGCAAUAAAAUAACAUUUUACCCUCUUGAA